CAGAGGGUGCGAGCGUUGUCCGGAAUCACUGGGCGUAAAGGGCGCGUAGGCGGCUUGAUAAGUAGGGGGUGAAAUCUUGCGGCUCAACUGCAAGGCUGCCUCCUAAACUGUCAGGCUUGAGCACAGUAGAGGCAGGUGGAAUUCCCGGUGUAGCGGUGGAAUGCGUAGAGAUCGGGAAGAACAUCGGUGGCGAAGGCGGCCUGCUGGGCUGUUGCUGACGCUGAGGCGCGACAGCGUGGGGAGCAAACAGGAUUAGAUACCCCGGUAGUCCUGGCCUUAAACGAUGAAUACUUGGUGUCUGGAGUCUCUAUAGCUCCGGGUGCCGUCGCUAACGUUUUUAGUAUUCCGCCUGGGGAGUACGCACGCAAGUGUG
rnacentral:rRNA from 1 species